rnacentral:rRNA from 1 species
CAGUCGCCGCGGUAAAACGAAGGGUGCAAGCGUUAAUCGGAAUUACUGGGCGUAAAGCGUGCGUAGGCGGUGAGUUAAGUCUGCUGUGAAAUCCCCGGGCUCAACCUGGGAAUGGCAGUGGAUACUGGCUCGCUAGAGUGUGUCAGAGGAUGGUGGAAUUCCCGGUGUGGCGGUGAAAUGCGUAGAGAUCGGGAGGAACAUCAGUGGCGAAGGCGGCCAUCUGGGACAACACUGACGCUGAGGCACGAAAGCGUGGGGAGCAAACAGGAUUAGAGACCCGCGUAGUCCCUGUCUCUUAUAA